UGCUAGGUUUAGAAAAUGAGUAGCAUUUGCAACUACAAGUUCAUAAAUUGCAACAUCAAUCUUGCCAAGUGGCCAUAUAAGUUACACUCACUCACGUCAUGAGGAAAAAGGGAGUGUUUUGGAGCAAUUCAAACCGAAUUAGGAGCUAAUGAACUCUUUGGAAGAAGUUAAGGACAAUUUGGAACAGCUGGAGAGGAUAUCACUUCGUAGAAACGGAGGCUAGGAUUGGAGCUAAAGUUUUGGCGAGCACACGGGCAACGGCACCCCGUCAAGCCCAUCAAUGAAUACGGGUAGCGAUAUGCACGUGAUCCAGCCGACAUCCGAACACAUGCGAUGCCACAACCAUGUCACUGUUUGUGUGCUAUCCCAGUUUCGCAUUUUUAAUAUGUUUUUAUGACUCUAGUACAUGAGUUUGAACCCAAAA